CAGUGUCGUCGGGCGGGCGUGCUGUAAAAAAAAUAAAAAAAUCUACCAAAUUGCUCCGCUAAACCAUCGCUUCACCACUUGUAGGAUAUUCUUGCAAGCUCCACGCCUCAGUUCUGGAAACCAAAGAGAAAAACACAAGACUGUCUUGGCUUUGCUGUGCGGCGGACGUUCUCCUUCUGCGUGUAGGCUACAUAGACUGAAUCAAGCCGAGGAGGAAGGGAGGGGGGCAUGUCACGUCACGCUGUGUGGGCUUGAGGCAUCUCGUCCUGGAAGCAGGGUGAGGGAAGACAGGCGUGACGAAGGGUGACAGAGCUGGGAGUCGGCCUGCACGCUGCAUGGGCCGUCGGGGGAAGCUGCGAAGUUGGAACUUGAAGACCUCCUGGAUUUCUUGACCAACCUACGGCCGCAUCAGACGCUGUUUGCUUGUCUUAUAUUGAAACCUUGAUAUGUGCAAGCAAACGGCCAGGAAACCCAACAGUUGCUCUACUUGCAACACUCUGAAGAAAAUAAUUGGGAAAACUUUGAAAUUGACUCUGCACUUCUGUCCGUGCCUGUCUGACAGCAUUCAUAAGUCAGAUUGCUCACGGUGCGGAAGGAGUGGGCUGCAUUGUGGAAGAAAUAAAAGUGGCUGCUUUCAAUUUUGGUCAGUCAGCGCAGAGCUCUGCAUCAGUAGACAUCAGAAGCAUCAAACUCAUAUGUGCAUGUUUGCAGACAUUAUGAAUUGGAGCUUAUUAAUAAUUAAAUAUGCAUGUGUGAAUUUAAAGUGGCUCUCUCUGUUGCUGAUUUUGAUCCACCACUGCAUUCUUAUUCCUGUCUCUCAUUGUCAUUGCUGUUCAUGUCUCAUUAAUCUUGUGCCUAUACACGCCUGUUGUCGGUGAGCAUGUGUGCUUAUGCAUUGUAAGGUUAAAUAUGACAUGAUCCAUUUAUUUCCUGCAUUUUCCAUCAAGAAAAGCUCCAAAUAUUGUGUAGGAAAUACAAUAUUGCGAUCAUUCCUGUCAAAAUGACUCAGAGAACAAAAAUUAAACCCCUGUGAAAUCCUAAAUAAUCACUAAGUCAGGAUGAUGAUGAUGAUGAUGAUGAUGAUGGUGAUGAUGAUGAUGGUGAUGAAGGUAGAUAUAGCACCUUCUUUUGAGGUGUGAACCAUCUGCAGGGACAGUCGGUUCUUGAUGUUAAUACGCUGCCAGUUGGAGACUAUGACGAAUGUGUAAUCAUGACUAGUUCCUGAAAUUGAUAAAUUGUGAUGCAGCUUAAUUACACACAGUUUGAAAAUAACCGGAAGAGACUAUUAGAUUAUUAUUGCCACAAGUUUAUAAAAGUUUUGAUUAGUGAUUAUUGUGGGAGAUCUGAUCUUCACGGAUACACAUUAUCUGGAUGAGUUCAUAUAAAAUAUAAAUAAUAUUCUUAAAAAAAGGACAGAUUCAAGUUCGUUAUUGGUACAUUAACUUGCAUUUUGUAUUAAAAUAAUCUGAGAGAUUUCCUUUGAUGCAACCCAUUCACACAUUUUAUUGUUAAUGCUCAUGCUCAUGUUGUCAUUAUAAUCAUUUAAUGAACAGUUCAAAGAGUAAUUGACUUCACAGUAUGACUUUAUGAGUCAUCUCCAUAAUCAUCAGUGAUCAAUUGUUCACACUGCUGCCGAUAAAAAUAAAAUACCAUUACUCAUAAAAAUUGCCCAUUUUAUUAUGAUUGCAGGUUUUUGGGAGUUGAACAGUAUAUUAAAGGAACUAUUAGUAAGUUUUGCUAUUGCUACAUAGCCAGCGUUAGCAUUAACAGCUGUUUACCUACCAAUCUUACCAAGAGCUUCAGCCAUUGUUGUGUUUAAAAAAUAAGAGGUUAUAAUACGCCCUCUGAGCAGCACUACUUCUUCAGGGCAGACUGGACGUUACAGUGACUCGGUAUUGGAAAGUGACAAAACGGG